UAUUUGGGUUUUCCCUACUCCUGUUCACCGUUCCAAAUUUCCUUCCGUGCCGAUUCCCUUUUUCUCGUUUGUCUACUCCUGUUCACCGUUCCAAAUUCCCUUCCAUGCCGAUUCCCUUUUUCUCGUUUGUUCUGUUGCGUGGGGGUUUCGUGUAGUGGGAAGCUUUGUUUCUUGCAUUGUUACUUUCCCAAAAUUUAUCAUUCCUUUUCCUGUUUUGUUUUGAUACAUUUAAUGCCUUUUCGAUUUCCUUUUUGAUCUCCUUUUCAAUUUCCUUUGUCUUCUUUCGCGUUCAAUUUGCUACAUGGAUGGGUUUGGGUAAGCUUUUCGCCCACUUGCUUGUUUUACGUUCGUCUGGAUUCAGCGAAAAGGUAUUUGUCGGAAUACUUUCCAUUUUGUGUCGGAUGCAGGCGGAAAGGGAUUUGGCAGAAGG
rnacentral:lncRNA from 1 species